UACGGAGGGUGCGAGCGUUAAUCGGAAUUACUGGGCGUAAAGGGCGCGUAGGUGGCCGCAUGAGUCGGAUGUGAAAGCCCCGGGCUUAACUUGGGAAUUGCAUUCGAUACUGUGUGGCUAGAGUGUGGCAGAGGAAAGCGGAAUUCCCGGUGUAGCGGUGAAAUGCGUAGAUAUCGGGAGGAACAUCAGUGGCGAAGGCGGCUUUCUGGCCUUAGUCUGACGCUCAGGUGCGAAAGCGUGGGGAGCGAACGGG
rnacentral:rRNA from 1 species